rnacentral:rRNA from 1 species
UGGGGAAUAUUGCGCAAUGGGCGAAAGCCUGACGCAGCGACGCCGCGUGAGGGAUGAAGGUUUUCGGAUCGUAAACCUCUGUCAGAAGGGAAGAAACCGCACUGUGCUAAUCAGCAGUGCCUUGACGGUACCUUCAAAGGAAGCACCGGCUAACUCCGUGCCAGCAGCCGCGGUAAUACGGAGGGUGCAAGCGUUAAUCGGAAUUACUGGGCGUAAAGCGCACGUAGGCUGCUUUGUAAGUCAGGGGUGAAAUCCCACGGCUCAACCGUGGAACUGCCUUUGAUACUGCUUAGCUUGAAUCCGGGAGAUGGUGGCGGAAUUCCAGGUGUAUGAGUGAAAUCCGUGGAUAUCUGGAGGAACAUCAGUGGCGAAGGCGGCCACCUGGACCGGUAUUGACGCUGAGGUGCGAAAGCGUGGGGAGCAAACAGG